rnacentral:ncRNA from 1 species
AGAUGAGUGAGACACCCCGUCCGCAGGGGACUGCGGACGACGCCCCGCCGGUACGUCCCCAGUGCCGGCGCGGCCGUGCCACCGCGCACGCCACCGGGGCCGCGUCCGACGCGGAUCCCGGGACUCCUCACCGAUCGGA